rnacentral:rRNA from 1 species
CGGAGGGUGCAAGCGUUAUCCGGAUUUACUGGGUUUAAAGGGUGCGUAGGCGGGCCUUUAAGUCAGUGGUGAAAGCUCCGAGCUUAACUCGGAAACUGCCAUUGAUACUAUUGGUCUUGAAUUCGGUUGAGGUUGGCGGAAUGUGUCGUGUAGCGGUGAAAUGCUUAGAUAUGACACAGAACACCGAUUGCGAAGGCAGCUAGCUAAACCGACAUUGACGCUGAGGCACGAAAGCGUGGGGAUCAAACAGGAUUAGAAACCCUGGUAGUCCACGCCCUAAACUAUGAUUACUCGAUGUUGGCGAUACACUGCCAGCGUCUAAGCGAAAGCAUUAAGUAAUCCACCUGGGGAGUACGAUCGCAAGAUUG